GGUUGAAGUUUCCGAUCCCUCUCCUCCCGGGCCAUCGCCUUCAACCGUUCCCUCUGGAGGUUGAUCCUUCAAAACUCGGGGUCUCCCUUUACCGGAGGCCCUUUUU
rnacentral:sRNA from 1 species